GGUUCAACCUUUUCAUAAAAGGUGUUAUACUGUGAGAAGAUUUCUUAUUUGGAAUUCUAAUAUGGUGUGUUGCUGCUUGUCAAAGAGAUCACCAAAAAAUAGUCCAGACAAGGUUCAACCUCUUCAUAAGAGGUGUUAUACGGUGAGAAGAUUUCUUGUUUGGAAUGUGAAUAUGGCGCGUCGCUGCUGGUCAAAAAGAUCACCAAAAAAUAAUCCAGGCAAGUACAUAGAGUAACUUAUAUCUCUACAUUUCUAUGUAAUUUGAAUAAGAUUUUUUUGAUUUUAUAUUCUUCUUACAAUGCUAAUUGGCACACUUGGAAAAAGGGCAGAAGUUUUGACUAUGACUAAGAAAUCCGAUGUAGUUCCAGAAAAGAAUGGACAAUCUAAUAUAGUCCCCAAAAAGGAAGCAAAUCCAGAAAUAAAGCAAACUGAUGAUAAACCUGAAAGGAGGUAGAUAACUUUCAUAUUUUCAGUUUUCUAUAAAUAACUAAGGUGCCAAUCAAUUUCUUGUUGUUUAAAACACUAUAAAUGUGUUUCAACUUUUCUUUGAUAUGUUCAAGUAUACGUGAAGUCGAGUACAAUUUAAGACCUGCGAGUCAGGAGCUCGAGGUAUACAUCCGAAAAGUGAUUUCCAAAUUCGAAGGGGUUGAAAAUUGUGUGGUGGAUAUACAAAACAAAAGAAUUGUGGUCACCGGUGACUUUGAUCAAAAGAAACUGUUUGAAAAGCUUCAGAAAAAGAGGCGUAAGAUAAUAAAGAAAGAUCAUGAAUUAAUUGAGAAAUAUAGAAGCAUUCAUGCCCGAGUAAGAAGUGGUGAUGAAAAGGAAAUGGCCAAAUUUGACAUGUCCAAUGAAGAAAAUCCUAAUGGAGCACUGUAUCUUUUUCUCCUUUUCAUUUUUGUUUUUUUUAUUUUUUGUAUAUUUUAUCUUUUUAUUCAUAUAGCUGUCGAAACAAGUAAUCACCAUGAAGAACUUGGCAUGGUGAUAUGAACCAUGAGGAACUUGACAUGGUGAUAUGAACCUUCGAUUAAUCCUGAGAAAGUUUAACCGUGCUAUGAUAUAAUAAGACAAAUAGAAUAUGUUUUUUAAUUACUUCUUUAGUAUUUUUAUGAUUAAUGAUUAAUUUUACAUCCUUAUCGUCUUAGUCUAUGUCAAUAUAUGAAAAAAAAACAAUAUAAAUAGAUUACAUACCAAGCUUAACAUUAUUAAUAAAUUCCUUUUUUGGCACUUGCGAAUAAUACAAACAUCUAUAUUCUUUAAACCAAUAUUUUGCCUUGCUUAUAUAUUUUUCACAU